rnacentral:rRNA from 1 species
GAUGAACGCUGGCGGCGUGCCUAAUACAUGCAAGUCGAGCGAACAGACGAGGAGCUUGCUCCUCUGACGUUAGCGGCGGACGGGUGUGUAACACGUGUAUAACCUACCUAUAAGACUGGGAUAACUUCGGGAAACCGGAGCUAAUACCGGAUAAUAUAUUGAACCGCAUGGGUCGAUAGUGAAAGACGGUGUUUCGGGCAGUUAUCGAUGGUUCUGCGCCGCAUUAGCUAGUUGGUAAGGUAACGGCUUACCACGGCAACUAUGCGUAUCCGACCGGAGAGGGGGAUCGGCCACACUGGAACGGAGACACGGACCAGACUCCUAAGGGAGGCAGCAGUAGGGAAUCGUACGCAAUAGGCGAGAGCUUGACGGAGCAACGCCGCGUGAGUGAUGAAGGUCUUCGGAUCGUGAAACUCUGUUAUUAGGGAAGAACAAAUGUGUAAGUAACUAUGCACGUCUUGACGGUACCGAAUCAGAAAGCCACGGCUAACUACGUG